GUCCUUGCCGUAAACGAUGUGGAUUAGGUAUCAGGGGUGUCGAUCCCCAUGGCGCCGAAGCUAACGCAUUAAAUCCACCACCUGGGGAGUACGGUCGCAAGACUGAAACUCAAAGAAAUUGACGGGGACCCGCACAAGCGGUGGAGCAUGUGGUUUAAUUCGAGGCUACGCGAAGAACCUUACCCAGGCUUGACAUGUAGUUGACCACGCAUGAAAGUGCGUCUUCUCGCAAGAGACAAUUACACAAGUGCUGCAUGGCUGUCGU
rnacentral:rRNA from 1 species